rnacentral:tRNA from 1 species
GUGAUUAUAGAUUAAUGGUAAAUUUUUUAUCUUCCAAGUAAAAGUUGUGGGUUCGAAUCCCACUAAUCACA